rnacentral:rRNA from 1 species
GACGAACGCUGGCGGCGUGCUUAACACAUGCAAGUCGAACGGAAAGGCCCUGCUUUUGUGGGGUGCUCAAGUGGCGAACGGGUGAGUAACACGUGAGUAACCUGCCCUUGACUUUGGGAUAACUUCAGGAAACUGGGGCUAAUACCGGAUAGGAGCUCCUGCUGCAUGGUGGGGGUUGGAAAGUUUCGGCGGUUGGGGAUGGACUCGCGGCUUAUCAGCUUGCUGGUGGGGUAGUGGCUUACCAAGGCUUUGACGGGUAGCCGGCCUGAGAGGGUGACCGGCCACAUUGGGACUGAGAUACGGCCCAGACUCCUACGGGAGGCAGCAGUGGGGAAUAUUGCACAAUGGGCGGAAGCCUGAUGCAGCAACGCCGCGUGCGGGAUGACGGCCUUCGGGUUGUAAACCGCUUUCGCCUGUGACGAAGCGUGAGUGACGGUAAUGGGUAAAGAAGCACCGGCUAACUACGUGCCAGCAGCCGCGGUGAUACGUAGGGUGCGAGCGUUGUCCGGAUUUAUUGGGCGUAAAGGGCUCGUAGGUGGUUGAUCGCGUCGGAAGUGUAAUCUUGGGGCUUAACCCUGAGCGUGCUUUCGAUACGGGUUGACUUGAGGAAGGUAGGGGAGAAUGGAAUUCCUGGUGGAGCGGUGGAAUGCGCAGAUAUCAGGAGGAACACCAGUGGCGAAGGCGGUUCUCUGGGCCUUUCCUGACGCUGAGGAGCGAAAGCGUGGGGAGCGAACAGGCUUAGAUACCCUGGUAGUCCACGCUGUAAACGGUGGGUACUAGGUGUGGGGUCCAUUCCACGGGUUCCGUGCCGUAGCUAACGCUUUAAGUACCCCGCCUGGGGAGUACGGCCGCAAGGCUAAAACUCAAAGGAAUUGACGGGGCCCCGCACAAGCGGCGGAGCAUGCGGAUUAAUUCGAUGCAACGCGUAGAACCUUACCUGGGUUUGACAUGGAUCGGGAGUGCUCAGAGAUGGGUGUGCCUCUUUUGGGGUCGGUUCACAGGUGGUGCAUGCCUGUCGUCAGCUCGUGUCGUGAGAUGUUGGGUUAAGUCCCGCAACGAGCGCAACCCUUGUUCACUGUUGCCAGCACGUUAUGGUGGGGACUCAGUGGAGACCGCCGGGGUCAACUCGGAGGAAGGUGGGGAUGACGUCAAGUCAUCAUGCCCCUUAUGUCCAGGGCUUCACGCAUGCUACAAUGGCUGGUACAGAGAGUGGCGAGCCUGUGAGGGUGAGCGAAUCUCGGAAAGCCGGUCUCAGUUCGGAUUGGGGUCUGCAACUCGACCUCAUGAAGUCGGAGUCGCUAGUAAUCGCAGAUCAGCAACGCUGCGGUGAAAACGUUCCCGGG